UAAGCGGGGUUUCGAGUUAAGCGAACCACGAAAUUUACGUUGCCACAACGUUACCACAAUGCGCUAUGUUAUUAAAUGUAAAAAAAAAAAAAAAAAUGUUCCUACAAAAUAAUGGGGCUCGUAAACCAUUCUGAAACCAUUUAUUUUCAACCUCCUCUGAGAGGGAAGAAAUCCGUAAUAGCAGUCUGCUUGGAAUUCACAUCUGGGAGCAAGAAAGCAUCUUCAAGCACUUGAAUGCAACGCAUGAGAUGCUCCUCCCCUCUGCUGCACUCUACCUUGCCAGGGAGCAAACCAAGCAUCCUUCUCGUCUCGGAUGAUGUUGGGACCUCGCGGGGCUGUUCAUGCUCCACGUGAGCCUCUGGCACAUCACUACCAAGUGCACUCUCGACGAUUUUAGUGUCACUCAUUUCACCGCUUACUGGAACAUCGCCGUCAUAAAGCGCAUAGUCCUGGAAGGUCAAGCCCUCUAAGCCACUCUCCCCAGAACAUGGGUUAUUGCAGGAGUGCAUCAAAGAAGCAUUCACAGGAGAAUUGGCGGACAGAACCAUCCAGAGCGUUCCAGUCUUCAACGCAACAAGGGAAAAAGCUAUACUUAAAAACGUCAACACGGAUGACGCAGUCAUCUGCGUAAAGCCUUAUCUUCGCUGGAACAUCCUUAGCAAUACCAUUAAUAAACAGUGAAAAGAACAGCGGUCCCAACACAGACCCUUGUGGGAC